CAGAUUUUGGUCCUUAGGUUUGGGCUUCGCUUGUCUUUUGGCUUUGAGGGGGUCUGGAUAGCAUUUGUCUUGUGAUUCUCCUAGUUUCUUUGACUUGCAUAAUUUUAUAAAAGUAAAAACCAAAAUAAAAAGUGAAACUGAAACAAAAACAAAAACAGAAAUUAAAUAUAAAUAUAAAUAAAUAACUGAAAAAAUUAAAAUGCA
rnacentral:lncRNA from 1 species